AAAGGACCCUUUCUCCUUUCUCUUUUCUUCUUCUUCCUCUCCCUUUCCAGCAAUAGAAAGAAAGGAGAGCCUCGAUUGAAAUUCUAUCUCUAAAGAGAGGCACGCAGAUUGCCUGAUUACUCUUUAUGGAAAAGCAAGUACUUCUAUCUGUUUUUCUUCAAGAUUUCUUUUUGGAAUUUUCCAACUAGAUUUAGGGUUUUUCUUUGGCCAUCGCCCCCAUUUCAAGGACUUUGUCAUAACUGUCGG
rnacentral:misc_RNA from 1 species